rnacentral:misc_RNA from 1 species
AAGUCGUAACAAGGUCUCCGUAGGUGAACCUGCGGAGGGAUCAUUACAGGAUAUCUAUAAAAACCUCAAGUGCUUUGGGGGGGGGGAGACUGUUUCUUUUCCCGGAGCACUUGCAACCAAACGAUCGCAACUAGAAGAGAGAGAGAAUUUGGCUUGAUGAAAUAUAAGCGCUUGGCUGAGUGCAUAGUAUGGAGGAAUGGCAAAAGAAUACAACUUUCAACAACGGAUCUCUUGGCUCUCA